rnacentral:rRNA from 1 species
UUCCUACGGGAGGCAGCAGUGAGGAAUAUUGGUCAAUGGCCGAGAGGCUGAACCAGCCAAGUCGCGUGAGGGAAGAAUGUCCUAUGGAUUGUAAACCUCUUUUGUCAGGGAGCAAAGUCACCCACGUGUGGGUGUUGGAGAGUACCUGAAGAAAAAGCAUCGGCUAACUACGUGCCAGCAGCCGCGGUAAUACGGAGGAUGCGAGCGUUAUCCGGAUUUAUUGGGUUUAAAGGGUGCGCAGGCUGCCUGUUAAGUCAGCGGUAAAAUCCCGGGGCUCAACCCCGGCGAGCAUUUGAAACUGGCGG